UUAAUACAACUUUAAAAGUUGAUAUUUUAGUAACUUUAAUUUUAUUAUUGUUUUAUAUUAAGAAUAGAAUCAUUUAUCAUAAUCACUAUAUUGAUAUAUACGUUAAUAACUCAAUACACAUGUAAGAAUAUAAUUUAUGUAUUUAAUAAUUUAAGACAUAGUUAAUUUUAAAAUGACUAGCAAAAAUUGUGCCAGCAGCUGCGGUUAUACAAUUAGUCAUUAUUAUUUUUAUUAGGAUUAUUAUUAAUUUUUAUACUAUUGAUUUUAAUAAUAACUAUAAUUUUUAGGUGAAAUUUAAAUAUUAAUUUAAAUUUAGGUAAAUUUAAAGAUUUAUAAGAAAUUCUUUUUUGAAACUAGGAUUAGAUACCCUAUUAUUUUGAAUGUAAAAUUAUCCUUAAUAUUAAUAGUUAAGAUCUUUAAAUUGAAAGAAUUUGACGGUAAUUUGAUCAUUUUAGAGGAACCUGUUCUGUAAUCGAUAAUCCACGAUAAAUUUUACCUUAAUUUAUAGUUUGUAUAUCUCUGUUUGAUGAAUGUUUUAUUAGGAUAUUUUCUUUUAUCUUUAUGGGGAUUUAUAUCAGGUCAAGGUGCAGCCAUAUUAAGGGUUGAAAUGGGUUACACUUAAUUUUUUAUUUUAUUAUUGGAUUAAUAUAUUUAUUAUAUAUUAAUUAAAUUGGAUUUAAUUGUAAUGUUUAAUAUAUUUUAUUCAUGAUAUAUGUUCUUGAUUAAGUACAUAUCGCCCGUCACUCUCAUUAUUAAAAUGGGAUAAGUCGUAACAAAGUAAUCCUAUCGGAAGAUGGGGUUGGAAUUAUA
rnacentral:ncRNA from 1 species